UGUCAAGGGAUGGGAAUCCAACCCACGACCUUCCGCUUACCGGGCAGAUGCCAUGACCACUAGGCUACCCUGGAC